AAUGCCUCCUUGCCAAGUGUUCCAUUGUUAACUUCUUCACCUAGUGGCGACUAGUUUCUCCACGAGCUCCACGAGCAGACCAGCUCCCCCCUCCUCCUCCUCACUCGUGUUCUUGGGGAGGAUCCAUCCAUGGAGAUGGAGGCUUCUAGCUGAUGAGGCUGGUGGCUUCUAGCUGAGAUUGAUUCUUGCAGAUUCACUAGUGUAGAAAUUGGAUCUUGGGGGGCAAUGGCGAUGGAGCCGGCGGUCAAGGUGGCGCUGGGGACGGCGGCGUUCGGCAUCUUCUGGGUGCUGGCCGUGUUCCCGGCGGUGCCCUUCCUGCCCAUCGGCCGCACGGCGGGGUCGCUGCUGGGGGCCAUGCUCAUGGUGCUCCUCAACGUCAUCACCGCCGACGAGGCCUACGCCGCCGUCGACCUGCCCAUCCUCGGCCUCCUCUUCGGCACCAUGGUCGUCAGCGUCUACCUCGAGCGCGCCGACAUGUUCCGCCACCUGGGACGCGCGCUCUCCUGGCGGAGCCAGGGCGGCAAGGACCUGCUCCUCCGCACCUGCGCCGUCUCCGCGCUCGCGUCGGCGCUCUUCACCAACGACACCUGCUGCGUCGUGCUCACCGAGUUCAUCCUCAAGAUCGCCCGCCAGAACAACCUCCCGCCCAAGCCCUUCCUCCUCGCGCUCGCCUCCUCGGCGAAUAUCGGCUCCGCGGCCACCCCCAUCGGCAACCCGCAGAACCUCGUCAUCGCCGUGCAGAGCGGCAUCUCCUUCGGUGACUUCGUCUUCGGCAUCCUGCCCGCCACCCUCGUCGGCGUCGUCGUCAACGCCGCCAUCCUGCUCUGUCUCUACUGGCGGGAGCUGUCCGACGAGAAGUGCGUCGACGUGUCCCACGACGCGCUCCCCGCCGAGGUCGUCGAUGAGGACGACGUCACCUCCCACCGCUUCUCGCCGGCCACCAUGUCGCACCCGCGGCGCGGCCGCCUCCCCGACGGCUCUGUUCUUCCCGAAGCAGCCGGCUGCGACGCGCACUGCUCAUGUGAGCCGGUCAAGCCCAACGGCGACGUCGCCAAGGCGGCGCCCGACGGCGUCGGGAUCCACCAGAGGCGUGGCUCCGCCGCAAGAGUGACGACCAAGGAGGAGGAUGAGUACUCCUGCUUCAACUCGACGGAGGAGAAGGAGGCGGCCAUGGACGAGGAGUGGAAGAACAGGCUGUGGAAGACCUGCGUGUACGUCAUCACCUUCGGCAUGCUCGUGGCGCUGCUGCUUGGGCUCAACAUGUCCUGGAGCGCCAUUACCGCCGCCCUGGCGCUCAUCGUCCUCGACUUCAAGGACGCCCGCCCCUGCCUCGAGAAGGUCUCCUACCCACUGCUGCUCUUCUUCUGUGGGAUGUUCAUCACCGUGGAUGGCUUCAACAAGACCGGCAUUCCGAGCACCUUCUGGGAGUUCAUGGAGCCCUAUGCGCGGAUCGACACGCCAACCGGGGUGGUCAUCCUCGCCCUGGUGAUCCUUCUCCUCUCCAAUGUCGCGUCGAACGUCCCGACCGACUCUGCACUGUGUUUGUGCUUCAUUGCAGUCCUGCUGCUCGGCGCACGGGUGGCGGCCUCAGCGGCGGCGAUCUCCCCCGCGGCGGAGACCAACGCGUGGCUGAUCCUGGCGUGGGUGAGCACGGUGGCCGGCAACCUGUCCCUUCUAGGGUCGGCGGCGAACCUCAUCGUGUGCGAGCAGGCGCGUCGGUCCCAGCAGUUCGGGUAUACCCUCUCCUUCUUCAGCCACCUCCAGUUCGGCUUCCCGGCGACGCUCAUCGUCACCGGCAUCGGCCUGCUGCUCAUCAAGAGCAACUGAACAGAGUCCUCAUGAUUAUCAAUACAACAGCAGAAGAAGAAGACAUGAUUCAUAUGGAUAUAUAGGCAUGUAAAUUUUUAAAAUUGUGAAUGUUGGGGCCGUCAUUUGUGGCCUGUGGGGUAAGUCUUGUACCGUAAAGAAAAGCUGGGAGGCCCCCGAGCACGGAUGAUGCCAUUCAUGGUGGUGCUCGGAGGCUUUUUGGGUUGUACAUUUUACAUAUAUUGAAAAAGAGGAGGAGAAAGAAGAAGAGGAAGAAAGAUGUAAAUGAGUAGUUGCUAUCUCAAUCAAGUAAGUAAAAGGUGUAUAUUUGUUCAAUAUUCAACAUGAAUUGGAUGGUACAUAUUGCAAUCUGUUGACCGACC
rnacentral:rRNA from 1 species